rnacentral:tRNA from 1 species
GAUAAAGAAAGGAAUUGAACCAAUGUUGACAGGUUUACAGCCUGCCGCCUAGCAUUCGGCCACUUUACC